rnacentral:tRNA from 3 species
AGUCCCGUGGUGUAGUGGCCAAUCAUAAUGGCCUUUGGACAGCCAUUGACGGCGGUUCGAAUCCGCCCGGGACUA